CCUACGGGUGGCUGCAGUGAGGAAUAUUGGUCAAUGGACGAGAGUCUGAACCAGCCAAGUCGCGUGAAGGAUGACUGCCCUCUGGGUUGUAAACUUCUUUUAUAUGGGAAUAAAAUGUUCCACGUGCGGGCUUUUGUAUGUACCAUAUGAACAAGGAUCGGCUAACUCCGUUCCAGCAGCUGCGGUAAUACGGAGGAUCCGAGCGUUAUCCGGAUUUCUUGGGGUAAAAGGGUGCGUAGGCGGACUGUUAAGUCAGCGGUAAAGGCCCGGGGCUCAACCCCGGCGAGCCGUUGAAACUGGCUGUCUGGAGAUGUCGAGAGGUAUGCGGAAUGCGCAGUGUAGCGGUGAAAUGCUUAGAUAUUGCGUAGAACUCCGGUUGCGAAGGCAGCAUACCGGCGGCGAUCUGACGCUGAGGCACGAAAGCGUGGGUAUCGAACAGGAUUAGAUACCCCAGUAGUC
rnacentral:rRNA from 1 species